AGAGUUUUUUCCUGGCUCAGGAUGAACGCUGGCGGCGUGCCUAAUACAUGCAAGUCGAGCGAGAUUUUAUUAAUUGACUACUUCGGUAUGAUUUUUCUAAAAUCGAGUGGCGGACGGGUGAGUAACACGUGGGUAACCUGCCCUUAAGUAGGGGAUAACAUUUGGAAACAGAUGCUAAUACCGUAUAAACCUCAGAAACACAUGUUUCUGAGUUGAAAGGCGGCUUUCGAGCUGUCGCUUUUGGAUGGACCCGCGGCGUAUUAGCUAGUUGGUGAGGUAAAGGCUCACCAAGGCAGUGAUACGUAGCCGACCUGAGAGGGUGAUCGGCCACAUUGGGACUGAGACACGGCCCAAACUCCUACGGGAGGCAGCAGUAGGGAAUCUUCCACAAUGGACGAAAGUCUGAUGGAGCAACGCCGCGUGAGUGAAGAAGGUUUUCGGAUCGUAAAACUCUGUUGUUGGAGAAGAACACGUUUGAGAGUAACUGUUCAGACGUUGACGGUAUCCAACCAGAAAGCCACGGCUAACUACGUGCCAGCAGCCGCGGUAAUACGUAGGUGGCAAGCGUUAUCCGGAUUUAUUGGGCGUAAAGCGAGCGCAGGCGGUUUCUUAAGUCUGAUGUGAAAGCCUUCGGCUUAACCGAAGAAGUGCAUCGGAAACUGGGAAACUUGAGUGCAGAAGAGGACAGUGGAACUCCAUGUGUAGCGGUGAAAUGCGUAGAUAUAUGGAAGAACACCAGUGGCGAAGGCGGCUGUCUGGUCUGUAACUGACGCUGAGGCUCGAAAGCAUGGGUAGCGAACAGGAUUAGAUACCCUGGUAGUCCAUGCCGUAAACGAUGAAU
rnacentral:rRNA from 1 species